rnacentral:snRNA from 1 species
GCCUCACCUAUGCAACAUAUAUAAUCAAAUUGGAAUCAUUCAGAGAAGAUUAGCAAUGUCUAUUAGCAAAAAUGACAGGCAAAUGGGCAAAGUGUUCCAUAUAUUU